CCUACGGGAGGCAGCAGUGAGGAAUAUUGGUCAAUGGCCGUAAGCCUGAACCAGCCAAGUCGCGUGAAGGAAGAAGGAUCUAUGGUUUGUAAACUUCUUUUAUAGGGGAAUAAAGGUCUGCACGUGUGGAUUUUUGCAUGUACCCUAUGAAUAAGGAUCGGCUAACUCCGUGCCAGCAGCCGCGGUAAUACGGAGGAUCCGAGCGUUAUCCGGAUUUAUUGGGUUUAAAGGGUGCGUAGGUGGUUUUUUAAGUCAGCGGUGAAAGUUUGUGGCUCAACCAUUAAAUUGCCGUUGAAACUGGAAGACUUGAGUGUGUUUGAGGUAGGCGGAAUGCGUGGUGUAGCGGUGAAAUGCAUAGAUAUCACGAAGAACUCCGAUUGCGAAGGCAGCUUACUAAACCGUAACUGACACUGAGGCACGAAAGCGUGGGGAGCAAACAGGAUUAGAUACCCCAGUAGUC
rnacentral:rRNA from 1 species